AAGAUUGACCUGUGCAGUCUGCACAGGCUCAUCUGGGACAACACUUACAACAGGUCUGCACAGGCUAAUCUGGGACAACACUUACAACAGGUCUGCACAGGCUAAUCUGGGACAACACUUACCACAGGUCUGCACAGGCUAAUCUGGGACAACACUUACCACAGGUCUGCACAGGCUAAUCUGGGACAACACUUACCACAGGUCUGCACAGGCUAAUCUGGGACAAUACUUACCACAGGUCUGCACAGGCUAAUCU